rnacentral:tRNA from 3 species
GGGCCCAUAGCUCAGUCGGUAGAGCAGCGGCCUUUUAAGCCGUUGGUCGCGCGUUCGAGUCGCGCUGGGCCCACCA